rnacentral:tRNA from 1 species
GAAGGUAUAGCUCAAGUGGUAGAGUGCAUGCUUACCAUGUAUGAGAUCCUGGGUUCAAUCCCUAGUACCUCCU